rnacentral:rRNA from 1 species
CACGUAGGGGGCAAGCGUUGUCCGGAUUUAUUGGGCGUAAAGAGCUCGUAGGUGGUUCGGUAAGUCGGGUGUGAAACCUCCAGGCCCAACCUGGAGACGCCACCCGAUACUGCUGUGACUGGAGUCCGGUAGGGGAGCGUGGAAUUCCUGGUGUAGCGGUGAAAUGCGCAGAUAUCAGGAGGAACACCAGCGGCGAAGGCGGCGCUCUGGGCCGGUACUGACGCUGAGGUGCGAAAGCGUGGGGAGCAAACAGG